UAUAUAAAGAAAUCUUCGGAUGGAAAUAUAUAUUUCUUAGCGGCGGACGGGUGAGUAACGCGUGAGGAACCUGCCUUGUACUAGGGGAUAGCCUCGGGAAACCGGGAUUAAUACCCUAUGAUACUUGAGGAUCGCAUGAUUUUCAAGUCAAAGCGAUUAAGCGGUAUAAGAUGGACUCGCGUCCCAUUAGCUAGUUGGUGAGGUAAUAGCUCACCAAGGCGACGAUGGGUAGCCGGCCUGAGAGGGUGAACGGCCACACUGGAACUGAGACACGGUCCAGACUCCUACGGGAGGCAGCAGUGGGGAAUAUUGCACAAUGGAGGGAACUCUGAUGCAGCGACGCCGCGUGAGCGAUGAAGGUUUUCGGAUCGUAAAGCUCUGUCCUAAGGGACGAUAAUGACGGUACCUUAGGAGGAAGCCCCGGCUAACUACGUGCCAGCAGCCGCGGUAAUACGUAGGGGGCGAGCGUUGUCCGGAUUUAUUGGGCGUAAAGGGUGCGUAGGCGGCCUUGUAAGUCAGAUGUGAAAUCUCACGGCUUAACCGUGGUAAGCAUUUGAAACUGUGAGGCUUGAGUACAGGAGAGGAGAGUGGAAUUCCUAGUGUAGCGGUGAAAUGCGUAGAUAUUAGGAGGAAUACCAGUGGCGAAGGCGACUCUCUGGACUGUAACUGACGCUGAGGCACGAAAGCGUGGGGAGCAAACAGGAUUAGAUACCCUG
rnacentral:rRNA from 1 species